rnacentral:ncRNA from 1 species
GUCCGAUAAAGCAAUGAAAAGGGAAUCGGGUGUAAAUCCCGAACAGGCCCGCUGCUGUGAAGUUCAUGAUGGUUUCAGACACAUACUGCAAUGCCACUAAUCGGAGCGCGAUUGGGAAGGCGUCUGAAAAGAGAACAAGUCAGAAGACCUGCCGGUUGC